ensembl:lncRNA
GGAGGUCUGUGUGUUUGAGCAGGUGGCGAGGAUUAGCGGUGCUGUCAACACUGAGCGCUGGAUAAAGCCUCUGCUCAUCCUUUCCUCGGUCUGCUCAUUAGAGCUCAUCAUUUUACCAUUUCACUCUCACACAUGUAUCUGAAGAGAUGUAGUGGCAGCCCUGUCUCCUGUUGUGAAGCAGAUGUUGCCCUCUGUUUUUACCCACCUCUGCACCCUUUAUCCCAUGCCAAGUCCCAAAAAGCAACGUGAGGGACACAAUGGAUAUGUAAAAAUCCAGCAGAAUACAGAAAUCUACAGUGUUUCCUUAAACUGUGUAAAUUCACAUGAAGUAGCCUGCAACCUACCGAAA